rnacentral:rRNA from 1 species
GGAUGCGAUCAUACCAGCACUAAAGCACCGGAUCCCAUCAGAACUCCGAGGUUAAGCGUGCUUGGGCGAGAGUACUACUAGGAUGGGUGACCUCCUGGGAAGUCCUCGUGUUGCAUUCC